UACAGAGGGAGCUAGCGUUGUUCGGAAAUACUGGGCGUAAAGCGAACGUAGGCGGCAUGGCCAGUCAGGGGUGAAAUCCCGGAGCUCAACUCCGGAACUGCCUCUGAAACUGCCAAGCUAGAAUCCUGGAGAGGCGAGUGGAAUUCCGAGUGUAGAGGUGAAAUUCGUAGAUAUUCGGAAGAACACCAGUGGCGAAGGCGACUCGCUGGACAGGUAUUGACGCUGAGGUUCGAAAGCGUGGGGAGCAAACAGG
rnacentral:rRNA from 1 species